rnacentral:rRNA from 1 species
CCGGAUUCAUUGGGCGUAAAGCGCGCGUAGGCGGUUUGGCAAGUCGGAUGUGAAAUCCCGAGGCUCAACCUCGUGACUGCAUCCGAUACUGCCCGACUAGAGGUAGGUAGGGGAGAUCGGAAUUCCUGGUGUAGCGGUGAAAUGCGCAGAUAUCAGGAGGAACACCGGUGGCGAAGGCGGAUCUCUGGGCCUGACCUGACGCUGAGGCGCGAAAGCUAGGGGAGCGAACAGG